CCCUCCCUCUCCCUCUCCCUCUCCCUCUCCCUCCACGGUCUCCCUCUGAUGCCGAGCCAAGGCUGGACGGUACUGCUGCCAUCUCGGCUCACUGCAACCUCCCUGCCUGAUUCUCCUGCCUCAGCCUGCCGAGUGCCUGCGAUUGCAGGCGCGCACCGCCACGCCUGACUGGUUUUCGUUUUUUUUUUGGUGGAGACGGGGUUUCGCUGUGUUGGCCGGGCUGGUCUCCAGCUCCUAGCCGCGAGUGAUCCGCCAGCCUCGGCCUCCCGAGGUGCCGGGAUUGCAGAUGGAGUCUCGUUCACUCAGUGCUCAAUGGUGCCCAGGCUGGAGUGCAGUGGCGUGAUCUCGGCUCGCUGCAACCACCUCCCAGCCGCCUGCCUUGGCCUCCCGGAGAGCCGAGAUUGCAGCCUCUGCCCGGCCGCCACCCCGUAUGGGAAGUGAGGAGCGUCUCUGCUUGGCCACCCAUCGUCUGGGAUGUGAGGAGCCCCUCUGCCUGGCUGCCCAGUCUGGAAAGUGAGGAGCGUCUCUGCCCGGCCGCCAUCCCAUCUGGGAAGCGAGGAGCGCCUCUUCCCCGCCGCCAUCCCAUCUAGGAAGUGAGGAGCGUCUCUGCCCGGCCGCCCAUCGUCUGAGAUGUGGGGAGCACCUCUGCCCCGCCGCCCUGUCUGGGAUGUGAGGAGCGCCUCUGCUGGGCCGCAGCCCUGUCUGGGAGGUGGGGAGCGUCUCUGCCCGGCUGCUCCGUCUGAGAAGUGAGGAAACCCUCUGCCUGGCAACCGCCCCGUCUGAGAAGUGAGGAGCCCCUCCGUCCGGCAACCACCCCGUCUGGGAAGUGAGGAGCGUCUCCGCCCAGCAGCCACCCCGUCCGGGAGGGAGGUGGGGGGGGUCAGCCCCCCGCCCGGCCAGCCGCCCCGUCCUGGAGGUGAGGGGCUCCUCUGCCCGGCCGCCCCUACUGGGAAGUGAGGAGCCCCUCUGCCCGGCCAGACGCCCCGUCCAGGAGGGAGGUGGGGGGGUCAGCCCCCCGCCCGGCCAGCCGCCCAGUCCGGGAGGGAGGUGGGGGGUCAGCCCCCCGCCCGGCCAGCCGCCCCGUCUGGGAGGGAGGUGGGGGGAUCAGCCCCCCGCCUGGCCAGCCGCCCCAUCCGGGAGGUGAGGGGCGCCUCUGCCCGGCCGCCCCUACUGGGAAGUGAGGAGCCCCUCUGCCCGGCCAGCCGCCCCGCCCGGGAGGGAGGUGGGGGGGUCAUCCCCCCACCUGGCCAGCCGCCCCAUCCGGGAGGGAGGUGGGGGGGUCAGCCCCCUGCCCGGCCAGCCGCCCCGUCCGGGAGGGGGGAGGGGGGGUCAGCCCCCUGCCCGGCCAGCCGCCCCGUCCGGGAGGGAGGUGGGGGGGGUCAGCCCCCCGCCUGGCCAGCCGCCCCGUCCGGGAGGGAGGUGGGGGGAUCAGCCCCCCGCCUGGCCAGUCGCCCCGUCCGGGAGGUGAGGGGCGCCUCUGCCCGGCCGCCCCUACUGGGAAGUGAGGACCCCUCUGCCCGGCCAGCCGCCCCGUCCGGGAGGGAGGUGGGGGGGACAGCCCCCCGCCCAGCCAGCCGCCCUAUCCAGGAGGUGAGGGGCGCCUCUGCCCGGCCGUCCCUACUGGGAAGUGAGGAGCCCCUCUGCCUGGCCAGCCGCCCCGUCCGGGAGGGUGGUGGGGGGGUCAGCCCCCCGCCCGGCCAGCCGCCCCAUCCGGGAGGUGAGGGGCGCUUCUGCCCGGCCGCCCCUACUGGGAAGUGAGGAGCCCCUCUGCCCGGCCACGACCCCGUCUGGGAGGUGUGCCCAGCGGCUCAUUGGGGAUGGGCCAUGAUGACAAUGGCGGUUUUGUGGAAUAGAAAGGCGGGAAGGGUGGGGAAAAAAUUGAGAAAUCGGAUGGUUGCCGGGUCUCUGUGGAUAGAAGUAGACAUGGGAGACUUUUCAUUUUGUUCUGUACUAAGAAAAAUUCUUCUGCCUUGGGAUCCUGUUGAUCUGUGACCUUAUCCCCAACCCUGUGCUCUCUGAAACAUGUGCUGUGUCCACUCAGGGUUAAAUGGAUUAAGGGCGGUGCAAGAUGUGCUUUGUUAAACAGAUGCUUGAAGGCAGCAUGCUCGUUAAGAGUCAUCACCACUCCCUAAUCUUAAGUACCCAGGGACACAAACACUGCGGAAGGCCAAGGCCGCAGGGUCCUCUGCCUAGGAAAACCAGAGACCUUUGUUCACUUGUUUAUCUGCUGACCUUCCCUCCACUAUUGUCCUAUGACCCUGCCAAAUCCCCCUCUGCGAGAAACACCCAAGAAUGAUCAAUAAAAAAAAAAUAAAUAAAUUAAAAAAA
rnacentral:lncRNA from 1 species